CAAAGGUUUGGUCCUAGCCUUCUUAUCAGUUUUUUCUAAGCCUACACAUGCAAGUCUCAGCUCCCCAGUGAGGACGCCCUUUUACCUUUUCCAGGCUAAGGAGCCGGUAUCAGGCACUAAAUCUGCCCACAACACCUAGUCCCACCACACCCCCAAGGGCCUUCAGCAGUGAUUAAUAUUGUUUAUAAGUGUUAACUUGAUCCAGCUAUAGAGAAGAGAGCUGGCCAACUCGGUGCCAGCCGCCGCGGCUAAACCGCACGAGCUCAAAUUGAUAAUUGUCGGCGUUAAGCGUGAUUAAAGGCCCCGCUAAUUAGAACAAAACCUAAACUCAGCUGUGAUAAGCUUGUUUUCGAGAAACACAAACACGAAAGUUGCUCUAAUCAACCCCU
rnacentral:rRNA from 1 species